rnacentral:rRNA from 1 species
GACGAACGCUGGCGGCGUGCUUAACACAUGCAAGUGGAGCGACGAACCAGGGCUUGCCCUGGGGCAGAGCCGCGAACGGGUGAGUAACACGUGGGUCACCUGCCUCGAUGACUGGGACAACCCGGGGAAACCCGGGCUAAUACCGGAUGUGCCCGCAAGGGGAAAGGAAGCUUCGGCCUCCGCUCCGAGAUGGGCCCGCGGCCCAUUAGCUUGUUGGUGGGGUAACGGCUCACCAAGGCUCCGAUGGGUAGCUGGUCUGAGAGGACGAUCAGCCACACUGGGACUGAGACACGGCCCAGACUCCUACGGGAGGCAGCAGUGGGGAAUCUUGCGCAAUGCGCGAAAGCGUGACGCAGCAACGCCGCGUGGGGGAAGAAGGCUUUCGGGUUGUAAACCCCUUUCAGUUGGGACGAAGCCCCGCCGAUGAAUAGUCGGUCGAGGUGACGGUACCUUCAGAAGAAGCACCGGCUAACUACGUGCCAGCCGCCGCAGUAAUAC